rnacentral:rRNA from 1 species
UACGUAGGGUGCUAGCGUUGUCCGGAUUUAUUGGGCGUAAAGAGCUCGUAGGCGGUCUGUCGCGUCGAAUGUGAAAACCCGGGGCUCAACUCCGGGCUUGCAUUCGAUACGGGCAGGCUAGAGUUCGGUAGGGGAGUCUGGAAUUCCUGGUGUAGCGGUGAAAUGCGCAGAUAUCCGCAGGAACAUCCGAGGCGAAAGCGGCUUGCUGGAUCGCAACUGACGCUGAGGGACGAAAGCUAGGGGAGCAAACAGG